CGUACACUCCUGCGGGAGGCAGCAGUGGGGAAUAUUGGACAAUGGGCGCAAGCCUGAUCCAGCCAUGCCGCGUGAGUGAUGAAGGCCCUAGGGUUGUAAAGCUCUUUCACCGGUGAAGAUAAUGACGGUAACCGGAGAAGAAGCCCCGGCUAACUUCGUGCCAGCAGCCGCGGUAAUACGAAGGGGGCUAGCGUUGUUCGGAUUUACUGGGCGUAAAGCGCACGUAGGCGGACUAUUAAGUCAGGGGUGAAAUCCCGGGGCUCAACCCCGGAACUGCCUUUGAUACUGGUAGUCUUGAGUUCGAGAGAGGUGAGUGGAAUUCCGAGUGUAGAGGUGAAAUUCGUAGAUAUUCGGAGGAACACCAGUGGCGAAGGCGGCUCACUGGCUCGAUACUGACGCUGAGGUGCGAAAGCGUGGGGAGCAAACAGGAUUAGAUACCCCGGUAGUCCCAU
rnacentral:rRNA from 1 species